rnacentral:tRNA from 1 species
GCCCAGAUAGCUCAGUUGGUAGAGCACGUGACUGAAAAUCACGGUGUCCUUGGUUCAAUUCCGAGUCUGGGCACCA